rnacentral:rRNA from 1 species
AGGGCACCACCAGGAGUGGAGCCUGCGGCUUAAUUUGACUCAACACGGGAAAACUCACCCGGCCCGGACACUGGAAGGAUUGACAGAUUGAGAGCUCUUUCUUGAUUCAGUGGGUGGUGGUGCAUGGCCGUUCUUAGUUGGUGGAGUGAUUUGUCUGGUUAAUUCCGAUAACGAACGAGACUCUAGCCUACUAAAUAGAUCGUCGGCUUACAAACGCCGGCGAGACUUCUUAGAGGGACAGGCGGUGAUUCAACCGCACGAAACAGAGCAAUAACAGGUCUGUGAUGCCCUUAGAUGUCCGGGGCCGCACGCGCGCUACACUGAAGUGAUCAGCGUGCUUUUUCAACCUACUCUGUCAAGAGUGGGGAACCCAAUGAACCUUCUUCGUGAUUGGGAUAGGGGAUUGUAAUUGUUCCCCUUGAACGAGGAAUUCCCAGUAAGCGCGAGUCAUAAGCCCGCGUUGAUUACGUCCCUGCCCUUUGUACACACCGCCCGUCGCUACUACCGAUUGAAUGUUUU